rnacentral:tRNA from 1 species
UAAGGUGUAUUUUAAAUAGAAUAUGAGCUUUGGGAGUUCAUGGAGCACUUACGUGUCAUCUUAA